CGUUGCUCAGCCCCGGACGGACGCGGGCGCCUCGCCAGGGGAGAAGCCGGGGACUCGGGCGCGGCCCCUUUAAGGCUGCUCCUGCCCGCUGGGGGCGAUGAGGAGCUGGAAGCGGCCGAGGAGCCAGGCGCAGCCUGACAGGUAGGCGGGGAGCCGGGCACGAUCCCUGCCAGGCCGGCGCUGGAUGGAGCCGGCUGCAGUGUCGCCUCCCCGGCCUCGGGCUGGCGAUGGAGCGGGCGCAGCGGCAGGAGGCGGAGCCCCAGAAUGGAUCCCAGCAUGGAGCUGACACAGCAGCCUGUGCCAGCUUUGCCCAUCCAAAUACACACCACUGCCAUCAGACCAGGGCUGGCUGGCUUCCCCUGAGAUGAUCUGAAGAGGAGCUGGA
rnacentral:lncRNA from 1 species